CCUACGGGAGGCAGCAGUGGGGGAUAUUGCACAAUGGGGGGAACCCUGAUGCAGCGACGCCGCGUGGGUGAAGGAGCGUUUCGGCGCGUAAAGCCCUAUCGGCAGGGAAGAAGAUGACGGUACCUGACCAAGAAGCCCCGGCUAACUACGUGCCAGCAGCCCGGGGAAUACGGGGGGGGCAAGCGUUAUCCGGAUUUACUGGGUGUAAAGGGGGCGCAGCCGGCAAUGCAAGCCAGGAGGGAAAGCCCGGGGCCCAACCCCGGGACUGCUCUUGGAACCGGAUGGCUGGAGUACAGGAGGGGCAGGCGGAAUUCCUGGUGUAGCGGUGAAAUGCGUAGAUAUUAGGAGGAACACCGGUGGCGAAGGCGGCCUGCUGGACUGUGACUGACGUUGAGGCCCGAAGGCGUGGGGAGCGAACAGGAUUAGAUACCCCGGUAGUC
rnacentral:rRNA from 1 species